CGAUCGUGGUUUCGCUUAUCUACUCCUAAGGAGUGCUAUGCAACUCCAGUUCAACUCGCUGGCGAAUGCGAGGUACUUUAGUAAACUAGGUUUGAUUUGUUCGUGGAUGAAGAGUACUUAAGCGGCCGUUGGGGGGGUUUCCAAGAGGGAGUUAGUUUCUUUGCCGCUUCUGACCUUUUUGGCUUAUAUAUAGUGUAUAAGAACUCAGUACAAUAAUCUUCAUUAACAAAAUUAGAUAUUUAAAGAUCUUCACUUACGAUAUACUUGGAGGUCUCUGAGGUUUCAUGCUCGAAGGUUCCUUUGGGAUCUCCUUUUGGUCUUCGAUGCAGUUUGAUGCUAGCUCCAUCCAUGCCUUAAAGGUCGGUCACCAUGUUUGUGAUUCUGACGGCAAAUCGGUCAUGCUUGUCGCAUCGACACCAAAGUGGUGGUUCCAUCGAGGGAGUAGGUUAAUACAUCGACCAUUGUUUCGUGGUUUAUCGCGGAUAUAGGGCAUUGCCUACCAACGUCUGAACCCAAUGGGUUGAGUUGUUGUUCCGUCGGGACCCCACCAUUCGCAAUGAUUGCUCUGGUUCCACCAACUGGUGUGAGGCGGAUAAACAGAUGGUUCUGCCUUAUCCUUGUUGGAUGGUGGCGGAUCGGUGCGAUGUGCUCUCUCCCUGAACUUAGGUUGCGAGGCCCUUCCUUUAGUGCCAUUUCUGUUGAGACAGAAAUUUAUCUUGGAUUGGGAUGGCUAGAGUUAAGUAGUGAUGGCAGGUCGAUAACAUGUUGAUCUGCAAAAUAAGUUCCCAGUCAAAAUUGGAUCCGAUGAAAAUUCUCCAACACUCAAGUUAGAUUUUCGAAAUAUAUGAGAGAGACUGAGUGCUAAGAGUUAC
rnacentral:lncRNA from 1 species